UAUACACUGAACUGAAUUCUGGAACCCAGUUGCAGAGAAGGAAGAAUGAAGAUCAAAGGGGUUUUCUGCUCUCUUCCUGCCCUUAUCUGGAGACUGUCCCUGGACCUGGAGACUGACCUUAUCUGAAAGCUGUCUCUAAACCAGAUGCCUGAUUCAUCUUUACUUGACCCUUGGCACGGAUCCCUGCUAAGAAGACUUGUGCUAGGAUCUGUGCUAUAGGAACUUACUGCCACUUACAAAGGAUUGUGCUAGAAGUGUGUCACUUAAUGCAAACUAGGAUUUGUCCCCAGGAUCCCCAAUCCUAUGUAUUUCUUAUAUUCUGGAAUAAAGUGAAGCUAAUUCACUGA